UACGAAGGGUGCAAGCGUUAAUCGGAAUUACUGGGCGUAAAGCGUGCGUAGGCGGUUUCUUAAGUCUGCUGUGAAAUCCCCGGGCUCAACCUGGGAAUGGCAGUGGAUACUGGGAGGCUAGAGUGUGUCAGAGGAUGGUGGAAUUCCCGGUGUAGCGGUGAAAUGCGUAGAGAUCGGGAGGAACAUCAGUGGCGAAGGCGGCAUCCUGGACCAACACUGACGCUGAGGAGCGAAAGCCAGGGGAGCAAACGGG
rnacentral:rRNA from 1 species